UACAGAGGGUGCGAGCGUUAAUCGGAAUUACUGGGCGUAAAGCGUGCGUAGACGGUUAUGUAAGUUAGGUGUGAAAGCCCCGGGCUCAACCUGGGAAUUGCAUUUAAGACUGCAUAGCUAGGGUGCGGAAGAGGGAAGCGGAAUUUCCGGUGUAGCGGUGAAAUGCGUAGAUAUCGGAAGGAACAUCAGUGGCGAAAGCGACUUCCUGGACCAAUACUGACGCUCAUGUGCGAAAGCGUGGGGAGCAAACAGG
rnacentral:rRNA from 1 species